UGCCUUCCUGCUUCCGGGUAUCCGCCUGUGCUUCAGAUGAGUAUCAUCCUCCAGCAAAUCAUCUGAAACUGCAUCUUCUCUCUUGACAAAUUUGGUCCUUUUGCUUCUAGGAAUCACUCGCCGUUGCUGCUGAAUUGCGUCCUCCAAUGAAUCAUCUGAAGCUUCAUUUUGCCUCUCCACAAAUUUGGCUUGCUUGGUUCUGAAUAUCCUCAUGCGCUGCUGACAAGUACUGUCCUCCAGUAGGUCGUCAGAAACUGCACCCUCCUUGUCAAUAAACUUUGAUUCCCUGUUCCGAU
rnacentral:misc_RNA from 1 species